UGUUAAAUAAUAUAAUACAUUAUAUAUGACUGUUACUCAUAAAAUUUCUUUAGAAUUUAACAU
rnacentral:tRNA from 1 species